CCUACGGGUGGCUGCAGUGGGGAAUAUUGGGCAAUGGGCGCAAGCCUGACCCAGCAAUGCCGCGUGAAGGAAGAAGGCUUUCGGGUUGUAAACUUCUUUGACAGGGGAAGAGCAGAAGACGGUACCCUGAAAACAAGCCACGGCUAACUACGUGCCAGCAGCCGCGGUAAUACGUAGGUGGCAAGCGUUGUCCGGAUUUACUGGGUGUAAAGGGAGCGUAGACGGCUGUGCAAGUCUGAAGUGAAAGCCCGUGGCUCAACCGCGGAACUGCUUUGGAAACUGUAUAGCUUGAGUACUGGAGAGGCAGGCGGAAUUCCUAGUGUAGCGGUGAAAUGCGUAGAUAUUAGGAGGAACACCAGUGGCGAAGGCGGCCUGCUGGACAGAAACUGACGUUGAGGCUCGAAAGCGUGGGGAGCAAACAGGAUUAGAUACCCCAGUAGUC
rnacentral:rRNA from 1 species